GUAUCACCAUUUUCUUUUUUUCCCCCUCUGUUUGGCGGCGCGGUCGGUGUGCGGCGCUUCAGUUCGGAUCAGCUCACCCCACGUGAGCAAGAAGUUGGCGCGCGUAUCAUAUUUGCGGAGUGCAUUGUUUUGUUUCACACGGAAUGCAACGAUGAGCGAGCCUGACCGACAGAAGGUGAUCGAAAAGUACCUCCAAGGGUUACAUCAUUAUGAAGACGGCUACUCCCAUGGCUACCUGAAGUCAGACGAUGAGCUUAAGCUUUUUGAGAGGUCCUUGGCUGCCGUCAACGAGAGGUAUGCUUGUGUGGAUAUCAAGAGACCUGAACAAGCCGUCUAAAUGGUUCAAGCACCGCUGACUGGCCGAAGGAGGUGUACGAGAAGAAGCGAAUGAACCUCCAAGGCACAAAGAAGAAAGGGUGUGCAGCAACAAUGAAUUUGAAGUGGAUUAAAUUGUACCCAGAUUUCCAGGUGGACCUUCCCCAGCCAUGCGGCCAGACAAAAGAGGGUCGGCUGAAAGCAGACAAGGCCAAGCAGCUGCAGGAGGUGCUUGACGCAGAGCAGCAGACUGUUGCCAAAGAGACGCGGAUAUACAUUAAAAUUGCCAACUGCGGUUCCCAUCGUAACCAUGGUUUCGAGGACAUGGAAGCUUUUAGCCAAAACAUGGACAGGAACAUUGCUGAGCGAAUUCAAAUGUUGGCAAGGGAAGGAAUUACAUCUGUAUCAGAUGUGAAAAAGUGUCUGCACUAUUACGUGCACGACGUACUUUUUGCAAACAAGGAAAAGCCUGAUAGCAGCUGCAGGGCCUUCUUCCCAACACAUCGUGAUAUCAGCAACCAGAUCCAAGCGGUUCUUAAGAAAGACCGCUUCAGUACAGUCGAUCAAGAAAAUGCUAGCAUCCUUAUUGAAAAGAUCAGGGGUGAGCAACUCGAA